GGCCCAAAUUUGAAGUAGAGUAUGUUGGUAGGAUCAGCUGACCAUACUAAUCUAAUCUACUUGAAGUUUGUGCCC
rfam:Haemonchus contortus, ISE/inbred ISE, WGS project CAVP01000000 data, contig: Hcontortus_38090